GGAAUUGACGGGGAGCACUACACGGGUGGAGCCUGCGGUUUAAUUGGACUCAACGCCGGAAAACUCACCGGGGGCGACAGCAAUAUGUAGGUCAAGCUAAAGACUUUACCAGAAUCGCUGAGAGGAGGUGCAUGGCCGUCGUCAGUUCGUACUGUGAAGCAUCCUGUUAAGUCAGGCAACGAGCGAGACCCGUGCCCACUGUUGCCAGCAUGUCCUUCGGGAUGAUGGGUACUCUGUGGGGACCGCCGAUGCUAAAUCGGAGGAAGGUGCGGGCUACGGUAGGUCAGUAUGCCCCGAAUCUCCCGGGCUACACGCGGGCUACAAUGACUGGGACAAUGGGCUCCUACCCCGAAAGGGGAUGGUAAUCUCAUAAACCCAGCCUUAGUUCGGAUCGAGGGCUGUAACCCGCCCUCGUGAAGCUGGAAUCCGUAGUAAUCGCGUUUCAACAUAGCGCGGUGAAUACGUCCCUGCUCCUU
rnacentral:rRNA from 1 species